rnacentral:rRNA from 1 species
GACGAACGCUGGCGGCGUGCUUAACACAUGCAAGUCGAACGGGCCCGCCCCUGUUUUUGGGGGUGGGUUGAGUGGCGAACGGGUGAGUAUCACGUGAGUAACCUGCCCCCUGCUCCUGGAUAACUGCUUGAAAGGGCGGCUAAUACGGGGUGUGCCGGCUGGUCCGCAUGGGCCUGGUCGGGAUAGUUUCAUCUUCGGGUGUUUCGGUGGGGGAUGGGCUCGCGGCCUAUCAGCUUGUUGGUGGGGUGAUGGCCCACCAAGGCGGUGACGGGUAGCCGGCCUGAGAGGGUGGGCGGCCACAGUGGGACUGAGACACGGCCCAGACUCCUGCGGGAGGAAGCAGUGGGGGGUAUUGCACAAUGGGCGGAAGCCUGAUGCAGCGACGUCGCGUGAGGGAUGGAGGCCUUCGGGUUGUGAACCUCUUUCUCCGGUGGUGAAGGCCCUGUCCGUUGCGGCGGGGUUGACGGUAGCCGGGUAUGAAGCGCCGGCUAACUACGUG